GUCUAUGGCGGCUGUGCGCGGGAGGCUUUCGAGCCUGCCGGGUCUGGUACCUCCCCGGUUUACCACCCCGUGUACAGCUGCCACCCAU
rnacentral:antisense_RNA from 18 species